ensembl:lncRNA
AAUCUCCAUGUGCCUGAGGCCUUCUGAAAGCACUCCCUUUCAUCUGCAUGAUAAUGAUUUUGCCUCAUCAUUUCAAGAAGUGUCUGUGGGUGGAAACAUGAUGAAGGGAAUCAUAAAACAAGGAGCCAUGUGAGAAGCUGAAGUAACAUGAACUAAUUUCACGAGCGUUAGUUUGAAGAUGUCUCAUGUAGAUUACGUGAUAAACAAAAAAAAGGUGAGUGCAACCAGAGCCUUCAUAACAGUGAGAUCUAUAAAGGGGCCUCACGUCUCUACAUAGAUUUUUAUUUUUAUAAAAAUAAUAGCGUUAUCUCUUUGUUAAAUUGAGACAAGAUUGAUAAAGAGAUUCCAAAGGCAGGGAGUUACCAAACAUGUAAAUUGAGAUAAAAAGAUGGAGCUCACUGUCAUAUACGUCUUCAGACACCAGGAUGAAGUCAAUGUGACAUUAUAACAUUGCCCACCAUGUCCAGAAAGGAUGUUAGGGCACAGUAACUGAAACUAGGCUCUCCAUCCCAGCCCUGCAAAGCUAAUUCUGUUACAAUAACUGCAAAUGUACUGGGAUUUUUAGGAGGCUGUGACCAAGAGCAGAACUGGGUAUAUUCAUUUAUACGAACACCAAGCCAACAACAUGUGAGCAGUGUCCUUAGGCACAUGUUUUAAACUACAAAAUGCUUUUCUGGCCGAGUCAUAAAACCAGUUUUUAAGAAGUUAACUGAAGAAAAGAAUGUUUUCUUUGCAAUAAAACAAGUGUUAUCUACUAAUUCACUUCACCAAGAUUAUUGAACAAGGUUCCUUUCCUGUGCAAAAAUGAAAGUAUGAAGGAUGGACAAGUGAAUAGUGUUUUCAAUGAAACUGGAUACUUAAAAGAAUCUUUGGCCACAGAAGAAGGAUUCAAUAAAGCCAUCUUCCCCUAGCAUUGUUUUAUAUCCUGCAAGUCCCUACUAAAUUACUGUAAGUUAUUGAUGCUGUAAAGUGCGUGAACCCUACUAAGGCUACAGUCAUUGAAGUCCCCUUUAUUAAAAUAUCAUAAAAAUCACUUCCACUUGAGCAGCAGAAUUGAAUUUGUAUCAAAGAUAUUCUAAAAUAUUGCUACCCGCCUAUCAGGCUACUUUGACUUCCA